AUAACACGUUUUAUUAGCGUUGGCUGAUUUUUUCGGAGAGGCACAAUGACAGACAUCGUGCUGAAUCUGUCUCUUCUCUGCUGGUUAUUUUCGCAUCCAUCACUUCUCCGGUGGUCCUUGUUUACGAUCGUAUCUCUGCUCGCUGUUUGCGUCGAAUCGAUCUGCUCGACACGUCACCCUAUUAGACCGGGAUGGAGAGAAAGAGAGAGAGAGAGAGCUUCUGAAGAGAAGGAAAGAAGAAUAAAAACCCGGCUUCUUUCCCUGUUCAAGCAUUUCAUCAUCACCGGGUCUUGUGGUUUGAUUCUGAGAUGAGGCUGACAUGAGAUGU